UACGAAGGGGGCUAGCGUUGUUCGGAUUUACUGGGCGUAAAGCGCACGUAGGCGGAUCUUUAAGUCAGAGGUGAAAUCCCAAGGCUCAACCUUGGAACUGCCUUUGAUACUGGGGAUCUUGAGUCCGGGAGAGGUGAGUGGAACUGCGAGUGUAGAGGUGAAAUUCGUAGAUAUUGGGAAGAACACCGGUGGCGAAGGCGGCUCACUGGCUCAUUACUGACGCUCAUGCGCGACAGCGUGGGGAUCAAACAGG
rnacentral:rRNA from 1 species